GAUUAACGCUGGCGGCGUGCAUAACACAUGCAAGUCGAACGAGUGGCGGACGGGUGAGUAACGCGUGGUAACCUGCCUUAGCGAAGGGGAUAGCCUUUGGAAACGACGAAUAAUACCCUAUGCUCUAAGAUGGACUUGGGUCUGAUUAGCUAGUAGGGGGGGUAAAGGUUCACCUAGGCGACGAGCUCUAGCUGGUCUGAGAGGAUGAUCAGCCACACUGGAACUGAGAAACGGCCCAGACUCCUACGGGAGGCAGCAGUGGGGAAUAUUGCACAAUGGGCGCAAGCCGGAUGCAGCCAGGCCGCGUGUAUGAAGAAGGCCUUAGGGUUGUAAAGUACUUUCAGCGGGGAGGCGUUACCCGCAGAAGAAGCACCGGCUAACUCCGUGCCAGCAGCCGCGGUAAUAC
rnacentral:rRNA from 1 species